rnacentral:lncRNA from 1 species
GCCCCAAGGACAUCGGAUAAACCACUUACAACCAAGAUCGCAGGAUUAAGUAAUACAAAUCACACACACCAAUAUUAUUGCAGCGGAAAUCUUACUACCAAAAUUUACAAGUUACAAAAAUUUUAUAUUAGUUUAUCGGAGUGAUUACAAAAGUAUAAGUUUGAAAUAUAUGCUAGCUCAAGGGAUCAUCCUCAAUAAGAAGUAUAGAAGGGUUACUUAGACUUAUAAGAAGGCCGAGCCCACCGGCACUUAACACCAUCAACAACAGCACAAAGUUAGAACCUGAAAAACAACAGGGAAUAAAACCCUGAGUAUGGAAUUACUCAGCAAGUCUUACCCGACUAAAGAAAAGACUCUCAAGGGUAUGCUGGUUUAAGGGAGUCAAGGUAAGGCUUUUCAAUAAUCAAAGACUCUGUUUUGCAGAAAUGCUUACUAAAGUGGAUCCUUAAAAAUCCAAUUUUAUUUGUCAAGUUAAGUACAAUUACCUGCAACUAGAGUUCUUUCUACCCUAGUUCAAUCACUGGUCCUGCACUAGCCAAUUUCUUAACAAAAGCCCAUCAUCUUUAGUGGAAUGCUACGUGUAGGGCAGUGACCAAGUCUUCAUAACCGCGAAGGUACGGCGAUCCGAAUCGAUUAUACUCAGCUGAGGAUCUCCAAUCACACGACAUAUGUAGCACUUAACCCUUGCAUAUGUCAACCCGCCACCGGGGUUCUUAAGACCAGAUCAGGUUCACGCAAACCGAGAGCACAGAUACACCACCGUCCAGCCUCUUGCCACGGAGGGUACACGCUACUCUCGCCACCGCUCCACGCCCAUUUCGUGUUAUCUUAUUCUGGCCUUAGUCUGCCCGAGGCAAGGCUUACCCAUGACGAAGCAUGUGACCAGUUAAAGGGUCCUCGAUCAUCAAGCCUACAUCGACAAAGUCCUUAAUCGACUCAGACGGAGACACUACACCGAGACUCUCUUCUCGUGCAAGUCACCCGCCCGGUCUCAGCUUAAUCUUUUUAACCCAAAACUUGGUACCUGGCAGAGGUACAUCUUUUCCGAUGUUGAAUCCAUCAUGGCCAUGAUGGAUUCACCAUCAAGUUUUAUUUUUGAAAACAACCCUCCCACUUUGCCAAUCAUCUUUUGUAAAACAAAUCCUUUUGUUUUUCUAGAGCAAUACUAAGCAUAGUAAAACCUUUUUGUAAAAAUAGGAUUUCAAGGAGGGUAAUCAAGAUCAAGGAAGGUAAUGCAGGAAUUGUUUAAUCAAUCAACUCCUAUCACCUAAUGCAGCAAGCAAGUGAGAAAGAUUUUAAAAACAUCAAGGGAGGUGGCAAAUGCACCGGGGCUUGCCUGAGUAACACUAGGUUAGUGUUGUUAGACGACGUUCGCUUGACGAUCAGCCUUUAUUCCGAUACUCGCUCCAUUGUCCAUCAGCUUCAUCCUGCGGAUUAGCUCGCGCUUGGGGUCGACUUGGAUCGUCUUCCGCAUCACGCGAUUAAUUAACGUACCUGAAUGAAAUGCAUUAUGCACAUGAAUGCAUAUAAACAGGAAUAGCACAAAUCUAAAUAGUGCUAUACGAUAGCGUAUUAAACACCUAGUGGUGAGGCGUUGUAUAAUUUUAUACGGAAACACUAGUUAUUAAUAUACGACUACACGCAAUAAUUACGCUUCUCUAGAUUAACAAUCCUAACGCAAACAUCACAAACAACAAAUCAUACACUUUAAAUUCAAUUAGCCUAAACGCGACUUAUCAGCUAAUUAAUUAAAUUCUAAACUUAUCCCUCGCUUUAUUAAUUAUACUAUUUUGCUUACAAAGGAUUAUUUUAAUUUUAUUUCGUACCACACAUAUCUAUUUAAUCUAUCAAACAAUGCAACCAACAGGAAUAACAAAUCGACUCGCCAUACUAAAAUCCUACUUGAAUUCACGAAAUCAACGACGCUUCCCUGUCCGCGCAUAACACUAAAUACGUGACGAGCGACAUACUAGACUUCCCUAUUCUACCCGAUCAAAUUUUAUUCUGGCACUAAUUUACUACUGCGAUUUAUGAGUAUGUCACCGGCCCACGUUAAUAGCGCAAGUAUACUAAACUGACGAGAAAUAUUAAAACGAAAAGCGAGAGCGAUGACAGCUCACCAGUAAUUUAAUCCAUCUUGCAAGCCACGAGCACAGCUACGAUUUCUGAUUCUGCCAUUAUGUCGAGCACGUGGUGAGCACCACGCGGACUUCAC